GGGAAUAUGGCUCAGUGGUAGAGUGCUUGCCUACCAUACAUGAAGCCCUGGGUUCGAAUCCUCAGUACCA
rnacentral:tRNA from 1 species